CGGGAUGGACAUACCUCUGGUGUACCAGUUGUCGUGCCAACGGCAUAGCUGGGUAGCUAUGUGUGGACGGGAUAAGUGCUGAAAGCAUCUAAGCAUGAAGCCCCCCUCAAGAUGAGAUUUCCCAACUUCGGUUAUAAGAUCCCUAAAAGAUGAUGAGGUUAAUAGGUUCGAGGUGGAAGCAUGGUGACAUGUGGAGCUGACGAAUACUAAUCGAUCGAAGACUUAAUCAA
rnacentral:rRNA from 1 species